AUCUCAACAUGGAGAAAUCCAUGUUUUCUUCAUCAUGGUUUUUUUCAUCUUGUUAUCAUCUUCAGCUGUGCCCAGGGUCGAGGCUCAGUCAAACAACAACAACAACAACACCAACAACGGCUUUCAAGGUCCCUAUUCAAGUUUCAGCCCGUCCAUGGCCAUCAUCAUAGUGGUUCUUGUGGCGGCUCUGUUCUUUAUGGGCUUCUUUUCCAUCUACAUCCGCCACUGCUCCGACCCCAACUCCAACAACAGCGUCAGAAAUGUUCUGUCUAUGCAUCCCCGGCGGGCCAACGCUGCCUCCCGUGGCCUCGACCAGGCAGUGCUCGAGACUUUUCCGACAUUUACCUACGCUGAAGUUAAGGAUCACAAGGUUGGAAAAGGUGCUCUCGAGUGUGCCGUUUGCCUGAACGAGUUUGAAGAGCAUGAAACGCUGCGUUUGAUACCCAAGUGUGAUCACGUAUUUCACCCCGAGUGUAUCGAUGCUUGGUUGGAAUCUCACGUGACUUGCCCGGUUUGUCGAGCUAAUCUCACACCUCAGCCCGGCGAUGAGUCGUCUUUUCAUUUGCCGGAAGUGACUACCUCGGAAAAUCAAGAAAGCAACGGUGAAGGGAAUGUGUCGGUAGACCCUGUGCAAGUUGUGUGUGAAGAUCCGCCGGAGAGGCAAGAAACGGUUAGACCGCAGGUGAGCCGGAACUAUAGCUUCGACAUGAGGUCAUCGAGAGCUGGCUCGAUUAGGAGGCCCGGCAGAGGAGUUUUUGGGUUUGGAAGGUUUAGAUCGCAUUCUACUGGGCAUUCUGUGGUUCAACCGGGGGAAAACACUGACCGGUUUACCUUAAGGUUGCCCGAGGAGAAAAGGAAAGAAAUGAUGAACCGAGCAUUGUUGAACCGGACAAAGAGCUAUGCAGUGCCUUUACCGAGGGACAGAAGUUCCAGAAAAGGUUAUGGGAUCGGUGGUGGCGAAGGAAGCAGUAGAGGUGCAAGGUCUUAUAGAAGGGUUGAACCAUUAGACCGAGAUGCUCAAUCAGAUCGUUGGGUUUUUGCAAGGGUACCGUCUUUCUUCUCAAGGGCGCUCUCAAUAAGGUCCCCUCGGGUGACAGCUGAUAAUGGUGAAGGAUCGUCGAAGACCGAAAAAACUACAGUGAAAAUGCCAUCUUUCAAGUGU
rnacentral:lncRNA from 1 species